rnacentral:lncRNA from 1 species
UAAAUCUGUCAUUUCAAACUCCUUCCUUAAGUCACCUUUGAAUUCACUAAUGUAUGAUUCAUUGUGUAGCACCCCAAAUUUUACCCUUUAAUUUAUUUGUAAAAUGUCUCUUUAAUUAUUUUCGAGGAGUGUCACACUACUAUGCAUCGACUUAUUUAUAAUAAUGCAGCGAAAAUAAACUCAUAAGGAAAUUAAAUUGUCUGAAAAAUUCAAAUUAUCAAGGUUUUAGAAAUAGACAUCACGAUUCAAUUAAAAAUCUUUAAAACAAUAAAACAACUGAAUUAAAAACUUAGAGUUCCCCCAUAGGACUUCCUAGCAGAGCGACUCAAUUUAUUAAAAACGGGAAAGGAAAACAACUCCUAAUGCCAUCUCCGGACUCUCAGCUAAGCAUCAUUGUUACCUGAAAAUCUACGAUUGCACAUCGUAGUGUCAAACCAGAAGGGGCAGCAAGGGUGAGUAACACAAUCACAUAAGAUAACCAAAUUCAAAAUAGUACAAGAGAUAGUCAAAACAUAAUGUUGCCUUUGGGCGGUCAAAUAUACAAACAAUCACAAUUAUCCAAAUACAACAACUACACGACUUAAUAAAAAAAAACACAAGUCAUCAAACAAAAUAAUCCAACUCAUUAGUCGAAAUAAGUUUAACUCAAAGAAGCAAGACAUCUUUGCUACGUCAUUACUACUCCAAUACUACACCAAUAUACUACACCAAUNNNNNNNNNNNCAGUUUUACAUCAAUUUAAUUAAUAACUAUUGUGAAAUAAUUUCAAAUUCUUAAGAGAAUAUAAAACCAAGGAGAGUGAGUUACACCAACAAGUUCUAAAAUGUUUAUAAUACUGUACAUAAAAGUAUAGGAAAUUUUGACGAAAUUAUAAUAUUUUUAAUCAUAGUUUUACUCCAAAUAAUUAUUUAAAAAUAGGUACGAGUGUCCACAAAUUACCAAACAGGUACCAAAAUUCUCGUAAAAUUAUUUACUAUUUUACCGUAAAAAGUACGAAAACAAUUGAAGUUCCCUAGAUGCCUCACGCGCCUCCACUCGCCGUGGGUGAGAGUGGGCGUAGCCAGCGCGACACUGUUUAUCAUCUUCCUUACCCGGAUUCCUGCAAAACGGGUCAUGCGACCCGGUUACCCGACCCGUCCAUAUCUCCCUCAAUACUCAACGAAACCCGACGUUCUUUAUACCGUUUUGAUCGUCACUCAAUUUAGGAAGGAUUCCCGGUAUUAGUUUUAAUAUUAGGUAAUCGAAACGAACGUUUUAAAGAUGACAAAGGUUCAUACGGUUUUGAAAACAUAAAACUCCAAUGAUGGUUGUUCAAGGCUUCGGGUUGAUGUGUUUUUCGUCUCAGAAAGAUCCCCAAGGUAUUUAGAAACUGAUUAUAAUUCUUGAAACGUCUUAAAGGUUUAACUUGGCUAUUUAAGGGUUGAAAUCAUGUUUUUAGUUUCUUUAUAUCUUUUAGCACUAAAAGGAGCAACUUCAUGAAUUAACAACAACCCAAUAGGACCCAAAAAUCAUUAAUCAUAAACAGGAACAAAUCAAAUUGAAACUAAUCACAAAACUACACGUUAAACAAAUUCACCUACAUAAUAAGGACAAGAAUUCAAUUUCAUAUAUAAAGCAUAAACAAAUAAUAACAACACCAUCAUCGAUCAAGAAUUUAAAUUUAAAUAAGCUUAACAACAACAACACAACAUAAAUGGAAGAGAAAAUAAAGAAGAACAAGUAAAGGACUACACUCAUACUAUCUAUAAUUUAACAAACUUAAACGAAAGGUUAAACCCCUUACUUGAUUAGUAGUGAAUCCCUAAGAUUUGAGAUCGAGUUCCUUCCUUCCCUUCUUUCCCACGUGACUUUCCUCUUUCUCCCACUUGCACUCUUAAUUUUAUUUUGUUUGUAUCAGUAUACUACCUCUUCCUAACCUUAUUCUCCUUUAAACCACUUAAUUCCAAGGGAUGAGAUAUUUAAUACAAUUGAAGUGAAUUCAUUAAAAUUAAAAUCAUGGUUUUUGUUUUCUUUUUAUCUCUACCAUAAUCUUAUC